AACUUGGCAUUCAUCUUGGUGUCGAAUUUCUGCUCCAUACCGUCCAGCUUUUCCAUGGCCUCUCCAAAGGUUGUUAGGAAACCCUGUACCUGCUGAGACAUCAUUUGCUGAAAUUUAUCAUAAAGCUCCUGGUUGGUCAGGUUCUCCCAGUCGAUCUCCUCGUCGUGUGAUCCUGGCAUGGUUAGCAGCAAGAGGAACACAGCAAAAUAUGAUCCUACAGACUACUAGGAAGUGGUGGUGGUGUGUCACAAAUCUGUCAAGCAAAUCUCAGUUUCUUACAAAUUCUUACCCAGCAGCAGGUGGCGAUCGGCAACCGGUGUAGUCAAAACUCUCGAAGGUUGGAUAUAGCGAUUGCCAGGUGGUGUCAAACACACGAUGGAGAUGUAUGUGGAGCUGGGAAGGCUUAUAAGAUGGUAGCAAGAAGGGUCAGCUAUAAUCAGUUCAGAGA
rnacentral:lncRNA from 1 species